CCCGGCCCGGCCCGAUCACUCCCCAGACACAACCGGCUGCAGCGGGGGCUGGGCUGCCGGGCUCCGUGCAAAACGAGGCACACGCGUUUAUAACUGAUGAGCUUGAGCAUGUGUCCACUUGAGACCCACAACCCACAGAUCUCUCAAGGUUUGGUAAGUCGCUUUUUAAAACGUGGCUAGAGAAGACACCUAAGGACUUCAGAGGACUGGUUUAGACAUGGAUUCAGUUUGUUGAGGGUAUCAAACUCAUACCUCCCACCACUGAGAGUCUACAGGAGGCAGAGCAGACACAGUAACCUGAUCAAGUGCUGGGGGAAAACAGAGGUCUAACAUGUUGUUGCUGCAAGAACUGUCUUAACGAAGAUAAAAUAAAACUAUGGCUCUAAAGAUGAAGCUAUGGAAGUGCUAAUCUGAAGUGGCAGUCUAAAUGAAUUCACGAGAAAGUCUACUUCUGUUUACUGAAAAUCUAAUGGUGAUAUUCUAAAAACCUUUCUUUAAAAAAAGAAAUACUCUUGUAAAUUCCAUAUGGAAUUUGGGUUUGUUUUAAAUUUGAGCUUGCCAGUUGUGACGCAAUUAAAUACAGAGAACUAGGCAGACUUAUUAUGGUAGUGGACUUUCAGUGACUUCUCAUGCUAGCUGGGCAAAGUUUGUAGGGUCAAACUCCUGACCCUGUUCUCCUCUCUGUGUUCCUUUCCUAUAUUCCUGCUGUUCUUAGUCUACGAAUGGUGCAGGAUCGAGUGUCUACUACUUUCUAGUCUAUCUGGAUUUUACCUGAAGUGCUCUAAAGUGAAAGCAGAAAGUGUUUUCAAGAGGCUGUCAUUGCAUAUGCAAGCAGUUCCAAUUUGCAAACCAAAGUAUAAUCAGCAAGUAUUAUACAUAAAAUAUGAGCAACUGGGAUUUGAGCUUAACUGCAAGAUAAAUACUCCAAAGCACAGAAACAGUCACAGUUUUCAAGCAAAACUACUAGUUAUUUUCUAGUCACAGAUCUGGAUAUCUUAAAUAAAAACAAAUGAUCAAUAACUUCUCUCCUGCAAACUAGUUUUCUAGUAAAUGUAAAUAAAUAUUUAUCAUAUCUGGCUCGGCCCCAACCCAGAAUUCCCACUAAAAUCCAUGGGAAUAAGAUAGGUGUAUCAGGAAUACAGCUUUAGUACUGUAACAAUGCAAGCUGUCAUGAUGUAACCGAAGGUACUGUUUGUUUGCACACAUACUAUAUUAAAGUAUGUACACUGCUCAGAGAAUGAGGAAAAAGAAUAUAAUCUACCUGGUCCCGCAUAAGGGAAAAAGUUUAAAAAUGUCCUGCACACUCACUGGAUCAUGUUGUGUAUUGUUAUUUUAAAAUUCUAUUAGGUUUAAAAUUGAGACACUAACACGAUAGUUCUAAUGCUACUCAUGGAAUUUUUUCUCAAAAUGAUAUUACUGAUUAAAGUGUAAUGCAUUUGUCCUUAUGCUGUGGACUGAUACUGGGAGCUAUAAAGUCAUCAUUGCUCAAACUGUUAAUGGAGGCAAGAACUCACUGCAAACCACUGGAAUACUCCUGGGGUUGAACAGAGAAACAGUAAUGAUGUGAUUUGGAGGGAAUUCAAUAAAUCCUUCUUAUUAAAGAGAGGCGAGUGUCAUACAGACUUUGAAGGGAGGGGAAAGCUAAGUCUUCUCCUGAGAAGAUACACACAUAAACUCCAAAGUGGUUUUUAAUGAUUUCACAGCUAAACAAAAUUACAUGGCAUCAUCAUGCUCCUCUCUGCUAUAUAACAGACUUCUUAUUACAAACAAAUAUGACAGUUAAAAAUUAAAUAAUCCCAUAUUGAACUUAAAACAGUAGUUUUAUCAAUUGCAACCUGAUCACAGCUGAUUACUUCUCCAGUUUGAAGUAAAGCUGAAAAAAGGUAUGAGAUGAUUAGAGAAGGAAAAAAUCAAAAUACUUUGACUAGACAAGUUUUAUAUUAUUUCAUACAUAAAAAGAAUACAUCAAAUUUUUUAUGUUCAUUAAAAGCUGACUAUAUUCACUGACACACACUUUGGUAGUGCCAGCAUGAUACAGUCACAAAGCAUGAACAUCAGGCUGACAGCUAAAAAGCAACAGAGAGCUUUGCACAUAAUCUAAAACUAAAUCUGUAUGUAAUUUCCUUCCCUUUGUUAAUUGAAGAUUAAAACUAAAUCAAGGGGAAGCCUUCUAUGAGGCUACUUCCAACAACAGAUGACUCAACUAGCACCUGAGAAUUUGUUGUGCUUGUGUGUACUGAGGUUCUGAACUUCCUGUUUCAAUAAAAUACCAAACAAGUUGUGUUUCCUUUACAAAUAAGCUAUUACAUCAAACCCUGUUCCUAUAAUUUCAGUUUUUGUCCCCAUUCCAACAUUUUCUUUGGCAAAUGUAGAAACAUUCUAAUUAAAGAGAAGAGAAAAACAAGCAUCAUUCAUAUGGUAAGAAUGAAUGCUCAAGAGAACAUCCUUACUGGUUACUUGUUCAUUCAGUCUAAUCUGGCUUUUUAAGUGCACUUAAUUAUGGCAUGCAGUUCUCUGAAAACAUGGACAGCAGAGUUUCCACUAAUAGUGUAUUGUGAAAGCUAUUAAAGGUAAUAAUUUCUCUAAUGCCAUACCACCAGUGUAAAGUAAUUAAAAAUAUUUUUAGAACACCAUAAUACUUGAAAUACACUAUUCUUUACCAUAUCAUUUGAACUUCUUUUAAGUAGAAAUGUUCCUGUUUUCCUCAGCAUGAUCUGUAGGAUAAGAGCAAUAAGAAUCCUUUCCAAUGUCCUCUUUCCUAAAUUUUCACUUUUUUUUGUAA